rnacentral:rRNA from 1 species
UGGGUUGUAGCUGGCCUUCCGAGGCAUGUGCACGCCCUGCUCAUCCACUCUACACCUGUGCACUUACUGUGGGUAUCAGGGAUCGUGAAGCGUGCUUUUUUACCGGAGCUUGUGAAGCGUGUCUGUGCCUGCGUUUAUCACAAACACUAUAAAGUAUCAGAAUGUGUAUUACGAUGUAACGCAUCUAUAUACAACUUUCAGCAACGGAUCUCUUGGCUCUCGCAUCGAUGAAGAACGCAGCGAAAUGCGAUAAGUAAUGUGAAUUGCAGAAUUCAGUGAAUCAUCGAAUCUUUGAACGCACCUUGCGCUCCUUGGUAUUCCGAGGAGCAUGCCUGUUUGAGUGUCAUGAAAUCUUCAACCUAUAAGCUUUUGUGGUUUGUAGGCUUGGACUUGGAGGCUUGUCGGCCUUGAUCGGUCGGCUCCUCUUAAAUGCAUUAGCUUGAUUCCUUGCGGAUCGGCUCUCGGUGUGAUAAUAUCUACGCCGCGACCGUGAAGCGUUUGGCGAGCUUCUAACCGUCUCACUUGAGAGACAACUUUAU